rnacentral:lncRNA from 1 species
CAAGAUCGCGCCAGUGCACUUCAGCCUGGGUGACAGAGCGAGACUGUCAAAAAACCAAACAGAAAAAACUAAGAAUCAGAGUGGGUCAGAUAACUUGCCCAAGACCACCCAGAGAUGAUAAAUUGAGGUCCAGGAUUCAAAGCCAGAGCAGCUCCAUUCCAAAGCUCUUUCCAUGGAACGUGGCUCUACAGUAUUUUCCUUAGUCUGCAACGAUCAAGGAGGCUAUUUUUCACAGAGGUUUUAAGAAGAGCAUUGUCUCCCUUCUCUUUAGGAAAAAGAAAAUUCUGCUCUGUGAUCCCUUUAGUGACAGCUAAACCUACAUAUUUGGAGUGUUGGUGCAUUUUAAAAAAAAUGUACAAAGUAGGGUCUUGCUAUGUUGCCCAGACUAGCGUGCAGUGGCUAUUCACAGGCACAAUCAUAGUUCAUAGCAGCCUUGAAUUCCUGGGCUCAAGUGAUCCUCUGGGUAACUGGGAUCAUAGGAGCUCACUACUAACUACUCCUAAUUUUUUUUUCCUCCAUUUUCUGAUGGGAGUGGUUAGAGAUGGUGAGAAAAUAUUUGGCAAAACAGCAGCCUCAUUAUUUUGUCUACAGGAGUAAGUUGCUACAGUCUUUCAAAAUAUUAGACACUUGGCUAAUUAAAGUAGGACGUUACAGUGAAAACCAAGCUUGAAGCUGCUCUACUGAUGCCAAUCUUGUGGUUUUCCCACCACUCUGUCCCUCUCUCUUCCAGGGGUACUGUCAGUAGUUUUAAGUCUGUUAAAUGAGAUUUCCCAGAACAGAUCCUGGCUCCCAGUACCUGUGCCCUCAGUCCCAUGGAUUUGUGUUACAAGUAAGUGAACUUGGCAUUGGCCAUUGCUUAUUAUGCUUCCUGUCUGGCUCUUACUCAUGUUGCCAUUUUGUGGACUAAAACUCAAGGCAGUUCAAAAAUACUGAUAUGCAGGUGCCAUGGAUGCUGUUGGAGUGUGUGUCCUAAGAGAGAGGGUAAGUGCUGGUUUUCCAUUUUAAACAUAGCUCGUGAUAUCAAGUUGCCCCCUCCCUUCAUUCCCUGACUCCCGUCUUCCUCCAAAAGCGGCUCUCUUGGUUUAGUAAGCAUCUCUACCCUGCAAAGCGGAAAUAAUGAAAAAUGAGAUUCACUUUGCAAGCUUGUUGGGUGAGCUUCUGGAGAAUAAUUUUUACCAAAAGCCUGAAAUCAUUUGGCAUUGUUGGUGUUUUCAAUGCAUCUGCAUCACAGCACAUUGCAUUUCACAUCUGGCCAGUUUGGAAUGAAACUUAGAAAAUCACCAGACUAUAGUGAUGUAAUUGUCAUGAAGUGGUUUUUGUAGCUUAGAGAAAAGAAAAACACUUGGCUGAAAGAAUGGUCUGAAGUCCCACCCAAAGUAAAACAUUCUAAAUUAAUAGUUGCCUAAAGACUACAGUAUUAUUAGACUUCUAUUUAAAAAAAUUCACAGUUCUAAUCAAAGAAGUGUAAUUGGAGUUUCCUUUUUAAAUAUUUGAAGACUGUAUUUACUAUUUUGAUGUUCAAAUAUUAGAUCUAUAUUUAGAAGGAAGUCCAGAGGCAUUUUAAGCUAAAUAGGAAUGUGGAUUCCUAUUCAACUUACUAUUGGAAAAAUACAUUGUCAUUAUAGACUUUUUAAAGUAUUAAGUAGCUUUUAAAAAACAUUAUAGGACUGUUAUAGCUAAAUCCUUUUAAUAUCUUCAUUACUCUUAAUUCUCUAGGAGUUUAGUAACAUUUUGCUUUUUUUGGUAAAAUUUGAAGUCUAAUUUACUAGUUGGCUAUUUCUUUACAUUGAGAAUGGUUAUUACUUUUUCACUCUGAACAAUUGAAAAUUAAGAAAAAUUACACUUAAAUAUAAAUUCUUGAUGGUUUUCUUUGCUGUUCUUUUCAUUUAUUAUUGGAAAACAGAUACUGCAUUAAAGUAUUUGUUGAAAUAUGCCUAAGUGUGUUUUCAGAUUGGCAUACUUAGAUAGUACCUGGAUUCAUUGGUUUCCUAUUUAUUAUAGCUUCAUCUGGGAUAAAUGUAUAGAAAUCUUGUCAUUACCUUUAGAAAUUUUAUUUGAGUGGCUCAAUGUUACGAGUAUUCUAAAUGCUAACCUAUUUCAUUUUGAUUUUUUUCUAAGUGAAUAUGUUUAGGUGGUAUGAUUCUUUUAACUCAUAAUUAUUAUGCCAUUGUGACGCAUUAAUUUUUGGCAGUGAUUAUUGUUAAAGUAAACAAAUAUAUACCCCCCACCAAAGCACCAAGUUUCAUACAAGUUUUUAAACAACCAUUUCUUUCUUUUUAGAAAAAUUGAUACAUAAUAAUUGUACGUAUUUUAGAAGGCACGAUGUGAUGUUUCCAUAUAUGUAUAUAUUUGUGUAAUGAUAAAAUCAGGGUAAUUAGCAUAUCCAUCAUCUUAAACAGCUACCAUUUCUUUGAACAACCCAUUUCUAAAUGCUGGAUGGAUGUGUGAAUAAAUGCCAUUUUAUAAUGGUGGUUAUUUUCACAACAAAUUAAUAUAUUUCACAUUUCAUAAAUUAGGGAUUAUGAAUUAUAAAUAAAAUAUUUUUCCCACGUAGUAUUUGCAAAGUAACUGCUUUCACUGCUAAUGGGAAAAUGUCCUUUUAAAAAAAAUUUGGAUGUAAGAACUUUCAAGAUGAGGCCUUGAGAGAACUGGGCACGAACUUCAGACCUGUGAAAUUUUUAGUUUACCUCCUUCUGGACCUUGAAUCUUGUAAAUUUUCUUUAUAGUUUAUUCAUCAGAAAUUAAAAUCUCAAUCAACAUUAUGCUUUGACCCAAUAAGCAUCAUACUACUAGUUUCAAAUAUCGUGGAUUUUACUGGGAUACUCCUGGUCACACAAGUAUUUAAUUCUGAUUAGAAGCAGAGUCAUGUCUGCAUCUGCUAAAAUCCAGAGCCUUUAAUCCUGGCAAAACUGGAGGUUCUUCAGAAGCCCGUGAAACUUAAAGGUAGCUUAAUAUACAGUGAAUUGUGUUUAUGUUUGGAGUAUAUGGUUCACAUCAUAACACAUUUUUGAGUCCCCAAACUUUGGAAAGAUGCCCCAGCCACAUCUUUCUCUUUAAUAGAAGUUCGGAAAUAGCCAAAGUUGUUAUUCCCAGGUAAGCUUUCUAGAGUCACUUUGGGAUUUUCUUGAGUGAUUUUGUUUGCAUUAUGUGUCAUUUGCAUAGUCCUUUAAAGGGUGCUGAUGUUAACUGAGUUGCUUCCCUUGUAGGAGCAGAAUCAUUUUAAUAGCUGUUAUAGAAGAACAGCACUUUUUUGUUAGUAAAAUAAUACAACUGGAUGGGAAGGAAAUAACUGUAUUUGCAUAUUUUCCUGCAUCAGUGAGCACUCUCAUCAGUUUUAUUUUUUAUAUUUUAAAAAAUAUAAAAUAAUCACCCAGUCCUUUUUUCUCUUCUGUUGUGCUCUUCUGAGAAAAUAGGUUUGGGGGGUUUAUUGUGAGUAUGAAUACUUAAUUGGGUGGAGAAACUUGAUCCAGGUGGCUGCAGAAGCAAGUUGUUUCUGAGGGCUGGCUGGACAAAUUUGAACCUGCCCCACACAGUGAUAUUCGCCAUUUUACUGUGUAAACCACAAUAGGUUGUUUGAUCUGCUUGAGAUCGCAAUAUAUUUAAUUGUGCUUGGAAAAUACAGUUUGGAGGUUUUGUAAAAUCAAAAAAAAGAGCUUUUUAAAAAUAGUCUAACUUAUUUCAGAGUUUUUUAAUACAGAUGCUGGAAAUUUAUGGGGUCCAAAAGAAACUGGAAUAUUCUGAAAGAGUUGGAGUGGGAGGAAAUGAGGACUUGGGGUGUUCAUUGUACCUCUGGAUCCUCCUCUGCCAAAAGGAUUUUGUAGCAUAAGGAAUUGAAGAUGUCAUAGCUUUGGAAAUGCCAGUAAAUGUAAGGUUGAAUUCAGAAUCUUGAUCAGGAAGAACUUCCGGUUCUUUCCCUGAUGAAAAAUAUGGUCUCUUGUAAUUUCCAGAAGAACAAUUGCUAAUGCUUAAUUUGAACAAAAAUUAGUCUUCAAGAACUAAAAUAUUAAAGACAAAAUAUAUCUUGGUAGAUGAAAUAAAAGAUUAAUGUUUAAUAUAAAAUAUUAGGCAAAUGAGAUGAGUGAAUUUUUUUAGUCUGCAAGUAAAAUGUCAACUCUUUCAAAAAUAUAAUUUAUAUAUAUAUCUUUUAUGCUAUAAUUUUUAAAGGUCAUGCAUUUUAUAAUUCAUGUUGAUUAACACUAUGUAUAAUAGUUUUAUAUAUUUGGAAUUCUAGAUUAUCUCUAUUUAAAGAAAACAUUUUACUAUAAAAAUCACGCACAAAAGUGGAGACAAUGAUUUAAUAAAUCCCAUCUUGCAAGCUUCAACACUUUGCCAUAUUGCUAUUUUGUCAUUGGGGGUAGAGAGCGCUGAAAUAUUACAAAAUGAAUCUUAGACAUAUCAUUUGCUUUUAAAUGCUUCAUAUACGUGUCUAAAAAAGGGAGUUUUUUUUAGAUAACUACAACAAUAUUCACACAUAGAAAAGUUAUAAUGAUCCCUUCAUAUGCUCUAAUCCCUAGUUUACAUUCAAGUUUCCCUUAUGGCUCACAUAUGCCCUCUGUAGCUAGUUUGAAUCUCAAUUCAAGUCAGUUUCCACUCAUUGCAUUUGUUAUAUCUCUCAAGACUUAAAUUUUAGAACAAUUUCUACUUUUCCCUCCUCUCUGUUUCUUGGCAUUGAUAUUGAUGAAAUUUGACCAGGGGUCCUAUAGAAUGUUCUGUAUUCUACAUUUUUCUUAUUUCAUCCUAGUUGUAUUUUUUAAUUUGUUCCUCCAUCCCCCAUACUUCAUGCAAACUAGAAAUUGAAUCUGAGGGAUUCUAUUAUUUUAAUAUUUUCAACAAGAAUACUUCAUAGAUGAGGUUUUGAUACAUUCUCUCAGUAUCCCAAACACAUUUGUUUAGUAACUAAUGUCAUUUUAUUCCACUCUUCAGAUGGACUUCUUGCUGCAAUAUUCAAAAGUAAUUACAUUCUGGGGGGGAAAAAAGCCUUUUCCUACCCAAUAAGUCUUUAUUAUAAUCAAAUCCUUAUGGGAGUAAACUUCAAUUAAUUGAUGCAUGAAAAAUACCAGAGACAAAGUGAACCCUUUAAUUUCUCUAAAUUUGGCUAUGCAUAAAGAAAGCUGCACCUACCAUGCCUGUCAUAAACUGUCAAUGGCCAGUCAGACUGAACCUGCUGCCCUCACAUUGCCCCUGUUGUGAGCAAGUAUCUCCAUGCUCUAGUGAACUCUUACUGAGAUAGACCUACUAUUUGGAGCUUUGAUGUCCAUCAAGGUUUUACUCCCAUCUCUAUAUUAAAGCAUCAUGUUUUUAGGUUUUGGAUAAACAUCCAAUGUAUGUCUUUUAUGAGUAAAACAGAUCACAAGAAAUUAUGAUAUGUGUUUGGUUUGCUUACAGACCUUGCUGUAUCCAUUUGGUUCCCUCUUAUACUUUUGUAUUUUUAACUCAACAUCUCCAUUACUUCUAGUCAUAGGGCUUGAAAUUCUCACUGUUAGAAUCAUUCUUUUUGGUCUUUCUGGAAAUGUUUAUUAAAGAGAAAUCAAGGUAUCACAUUACUUGGGAAAAAUAACGCAUAUAUAAGACUCACUGUCACCUAAACCGAGAUGAUGAUCUCAGUAGGCACUAUCCAAAGAAUGUCUUGACCUUGGACAAACAUCUCAUCUUGGAAUUUUUCUUGGGCUCUGGACACCUGGGAAACAGCUUGUAAAGACCAAAUUCUGUUGUAGAAGUGGAGAACUUCAAAAGGAGAAUAUGAGAUAUCUUGGGAUUAUUGCCUCUGGUUUCUAAUAAACUGAAUUAUGUUGAUAAUGCCUAUCCCAGGCUCUGUGGUCUGUAGAAGGAAGAGUGGAUGAGGAGUAAAGAGAUACUGAGCUUCAGUCCUGGGUUCCAGGCACUGUAGCUUGGUGAUCAACAGCCCAAACUCCAGAUUCACAUUGGGUGGCCUCUUGCUCAUGUGACCUUAGAAAAUUUACUUAACUUUCUGAGAAGCCUCAGUUUCUGAAUCUGUAAAA